GUGCACGCUGGCGGUAGGCCUAACACAUGCAGGUCGAACGGCAGCACAGUAAGAGCUUGCUCUUACGGGUGGCGAGUGGCGGACGGGUGAGGAAUACAUCGGAAUCUACUUUUUCGUGGGGGAUAACGUAGGGAAACUUACGCUAAUACCGCAUACGACCUACGGGUGAAAGCAGGGGAUCUUCGGACCUUGCGCGAUUGAAUGAGCCGAUGUCGGAUUAGCUAGUUGGCGGGGUAAAGGCCCACCAAGGCGACGAUCCGUAGCUGGUCUGAGAGGAUGAUCAGCCACACUGGAACUGAGACACGGUCCAGACUCCUACGGGAGGCAGCAGUGGGGAAUAUUGGACAAUGGGCGCAAGCCUGAUCCAGCCAUACCGCGUGGGUGAAGAAGGCCUUCGGGUUGUAAAGCCCUUUUGUUGGGAAAGAAAAGCAGCAGGUUAAUACCCCGCUGUUCUGACGGUACCCAAAGAAUAAGCACCGGCUAACUUCGUG
rnacentral:rRNA from 1 species